ensembl:lncRNA
AUGGGUGCCAGACCAACACUGUGGUCUGAAGGUUUUCCCUGCCUAUUCCUGCUCCUUUUGCCCUUUUCACAAGUAUUACCUGCAACAAAUCUUUGGCAUCUUUAUCUUUGUUAUGACAUGUGCUUCCUAGAGAACAUAAAUGACAGUUCUUAUUUAAAAAAUGAAGCGAUUCAGAGAAAUACAACAGAGAAAAGAACAAAUCAAAAGUAUGAGGACCACAGAAGACUCGGAAGUGAAGAGCAAGUAUUGGUAGCAGCACAUCCUGUCAGAUGGAGGCCUGCUACCCGCUCUCAGCAACUUCUUCUCACCUGAUCCCCGUUUUUGUUUAGCUGGUCUUCUCCUUGUUGACAGAGCCUUUUUGCCACCAAAGGGACUAAAUGCUGAAUUUUAAUAUCAGCUUCCCUUGCAAUGAGAAUCUGGAUAUAUGAGAUAUAAAAGGAAAUGUGUUGAGUAUCUAGAAAAUAUUGUUUUUUUCUUUAAUAAGAGAGAGAGAAGCAGGAAUAGAGCUCACCCCCCUCACUUUCUUCCUGUCUUUGAACAUUAAUGUGUGAGAAUGUGAUGCCUGGAGUUGUGACAGUCAUCUUGCAACCAUGAGGGGAAAGUAGAUAGAAGCUCAUAAAAGUGACUUGAUGUCAUCAGAUCACUGCAUCUAUCAACUCUGGAAUCAUCUAAUAGAAUAAUAGAAUGUUACCACUUGCUCUGGAAUGUGUCUUGUGUCUGUUACAUGCAGCCAAAACCAUAUUACCUGAUACACUUUCUAAAUUUGCCUUUGCCUCUUUCUGCUCUUUGUCAUACAACCCAUUUCUAGUUGAUAGUCCCACUUUGAAUGUCUCAGUGGCUUAGUUGGAGAAGGAAAUGGCAACCUACUCCAGUAUUCUUGCCUGGAGAAUCCCGUGGACAGAGGGGCCUGAUGGGCUGCUGUCCAUGGGGUUGCACAGAGUCGGACACAACUGAAGAAAUUUUGCAUGCAUGCACUGGAGAAGGAAAUGGCAACCCACUCCAGUAUUCUUGCCUGGAGAAUCCCAUGGACACAGGAGCCUGGUAGGCUGCCGUCUAUGGGGUCACACAGAGUCAGGCAUGACUGAAAUGACGCAGCAGCAGCAGCAGCAGCAGCAGCAGCGGUGGCUUGGUUAAUACCUCCAGAUCUCACCAUUGCUAGCUCUCUGCUAUCCCAUACAUUUUUCCUCUUACCUCUUAAUUUAAAGCACUAUUGACUGGCUGAUUUCUCUAUGCCACCAUUCCUUUUGGCCUCCAAUACUUUAGCCACCUGAUGUGAUGAGCCGACUCAUUAGAAAAGACCCUGAUACUGGGAAAGACUGAGGGCAGGAGGAGAAGGGGACAACAGAGGAUGGGUUGGCUGGAUGGCAUCACCAACUCAAUGGACAUGAGUUUGAGCAACCUUGGGUAGAUGGUGAAGGACAGGGAAGCCUGGAGUGCUGCAGUUCACAAGGUUGCAAAGAGUCAGACAUGACUGAGUGACUAAACAACAGUUGCACUAGGAACCACCCCAUUGCUCCUGGGAGAAUCGCCGCCAUAGAUGAGAAGACAAACUGGCUUCAGUGUGCUGUGACAUUGAAAUCCCUGAGAACCAUAGGAAGAAAAAUUUCGUAAGUUAUUACCAAAAAUGUGCAUUACGUAGAAAUUCAAUAUUAAACAAUAAGAAUUUUAAAGAUACUGACUCCAUGUACGAAAAACCAGAAUUCAGAAGCAGUGUGGGAACCCAUGGUAAUUGUGUAGUAAAGCACUUCCAAGGACCCAUAGAAAGUUGCUGAAAUAAGCAUAUGUUUAAGCAUCUUUAAAAAAUAAAACUAAAAAAAUGAUUAAAGUAAAUUUUCA